AAAAAUACGUGUUUAAAGUAUCGUCCCCAAACUCCCACCGCAGAAACACGAGACCAUCAAAAGAUUGGGUUUUGGCUUGCUGUUUCCUUACGAUUCUGGAAUGGAGAGAUCGAUAAAUUCGGCCGCUUGACGGAGGGUUCAAGCCACCGAGGUCUUGUCGCCAGUUAAGUUUGAGAUUCGUUGCUGGAGAGCCGGGCAAACCGGCGGUAUCCAGCAACUAUGCAUGGAGCUCUCCUUAUUGCGUUCAGAGAGGCUGCUUACAGAGUGAGGGCGGCUUGGAGGAGGUCCAUGGUGCCAGUGAUGUAGAGAUCAGAUGCUAAAGAGGAAGUUUUAUAUUUGGAUGACCUGUUCUGAACUCCUGAUCUCUGUUUUGGGAGCUCUUCGAUUCUUUAUGGCCCAUUUUCUUGGGGCCCUGACUCUACUUCAUCGGUGCGCGUCGGGAUUGGUGAGAGAAAGUGAGGUUCUGGUUCUCUUUUCCUCUAUGGAUUGAUUUCAAGGAGGCAUGUGUUGGAAUUGUCUGAGAUCGAUGAUGAUUAGAAGAGAUUGAGUGCGCUGUAUCCUAGCUCUGGCACCAAAUUAGAUGGGAGGAGUGGUUUGAGCAGUCUUGGAGAUAGUCUUAUAGCAUUUAUAAGAGGUUUCAGAAGCGGUAAUUCGAAGAUAGGAAUUGUAAAUGGGAUGCUUCAUGCCUAGAGAUUUCUUCUAUCAAGCCAGUGCAUUCACAUCCUACAGUUAAUCUGGACUUGGCAGGAAAAAGUUGUCAGUUCAUGUCAUUUCUCAUGGAGGCAUAAGAGAAGAUCAUAAUUUGUAUUCAGCAAAAGAACAUGGAGACACCAUUUGGAAGGAUCACCAAGAUGCUGCUAUCAGUUCUUUCUUUCUUUGAAUCAGAUCAUAGUUUGCCUCCAUCAACACAGGAUUUGGAAAGGAGUGAAGGACAAGGAAACAUGAGAGGUAUGAGAGCCUUAAUGACUCACAAAAUACAAAACACUAAUUUAACCCAAUGCAUGUUGUUCAGUUGUGAGGGUUGUUGAGGAAAAUAUGAGAACCUCUUUCAUUUGUCCUGUAAUGUCGUGCAUUAUGUUAUGCAGCCUUUGAGCACAAAUGUCAUAAUAUAAUGGUGAGGUAUCACGAGACAGAAUCUAGAUAGUUUUGCUUAUUUAGAAUCUAGGAUCUGGCUGCAGAAUGUAGUUAUGGAGGCUAGAAUCUAAAUAUUGGGUCAAAGUGCUGGAUGGUUGCAUGUACAACCAAGUGGCUGUGUAGAUGGGUGUUGUUUGGAUGAAAUACUAAUGGUUGUGAUAUUAGAAAUAGGAGAUGGGUUUGUAUAUGAAGCCUCUGCACAGUCUUUAACUGCUUGGUAAAUUUUAACUAGUUUUGUAGAUAAAGAAUUUUAUAUGAUAGAGAGGUGCGUGCACCUAUGGUGUGGAUAACAGCAGGAAGAUGUUAAGAGCACCAUUCGUGGCAGCAAAAUUGUCCACAGAGAGAGGGAGCACUGCUUGCAAUAGCAUAUCUGUCCCUAGACCGGCUCAUUUAUGAUAAUCGUAGAGUAAAUUGUCAAAAUUGGUUAUAAGCAGACCCCAAAUGAAUGAGACAUGGGCUCGAUUUUGCCUGUGAUUGUAACAGAUGAGCUUAAUGUGUUUUACUACUUUAUUUACUGGGUAUAUUUCUUACAAGUUUUCAUGGAAUCUCGAUAUGCUUUGCAUAUCCAAAUGCACGAAAAACUGUAUAGUGACCUUACUAGAGUAUCUUCAAACCAAAUAGCAAGGGAAAGACUGUAGCUCUACUCUAGGCUGAGGUAUGCUUGUAUUAUGUUACCAUUUAGUAAUUGAGCCUUGAAUACUCUAGGAUUGGGUGAACAGAAAUCGAAAUCACAAGAGACUUUCUUGAGGCUAGCAUUCAAUCUCUGUGGGCAGCAAAUUUGCUGCACUCUAUCUGCUUUUGUUAGUUUUCUGUCGCAUGAAAAUAACUUGAUCAGAUGUUCUUCUUCUUUUUUUGGUAAAAAUUAUCUUGCUCUGAUGAGCACGAAAAAACAAUGAGCUUGUAGUUGUGGUACAGAAUAGGCCACUCCUAGAAUUGAAUUUUAUGUCUCAAUCUAUUUUCCUUCAGAUUUUGGAACUUUCAGUUUCAGAUUCUUGAUGUUCAAAUUUUAGCAGCAUCAGCAUUGCAUAGGAUCAAGGUCAGCAACCUCAUAUUUUACAUCAGUGACAUCCGUAUGAACUAACAAUUGAAUUUUGCUUCUGUUAUAUAUAGUCAGCAUCUGGAAGUACCUGUGAUCUAUGGAACUGAUGAACCAGAAUAUCUUCAGGGGGUGCUGUAACAAAAAUACAAUGACAUGGAUAGGGUAAGGCAUGGCAUUUCAAAUUAGUAACCUGUAAAUAGCUUGGAGCAGAGGAAGUUGAAUUCACAUUUAGUUUUCGAUACUUGUGUUGAUGUUUACUUGUGAGCGAACUGAUUGGUCUUUUGACCCACGAAAACUUAGUAUUAACUCUAAUAUUGGAAUUAUGGUGCAACAUGAUUGCAAAUUUUGUGGAAGUUAUAAGAAUGUCACAGCUUACAACUUACUGCUUCAUUUGACCUUGGUUGUAACUGCAAGUGAUGUGAAGUUGCUCUAGCAUACUAUUAGAGGAUGGAUUCCUAUUGGCUGAUGAGAUUUCUGAACAGUUGGACCAACCUCAGGACCAUAUUUUUAUUUACUAUAAGAAGUCUGAGUGUUGACAGACAAAAGCCCAACUGUAACAAGCUGUUGCAACAAACAAAUUCACUGAACUUGUAUAUAUUGGAUCCUGAGUCUUGUCUAGUUUCUCUCA